rnacentral:rRNA from 1 species
ACUCCUACGGGAGGCAGCAGUGGGGAAUAUUGGACAAUGGGGGGGAACCCUGAUCCAGCAAUGCCGCGUGUGUGAAGAAGGCCUAUGGGUUGUAAAGCACUUUCGCUAGCGAGGAAGGGGCUUAGGUUAAGAGCUAGAGUCACUUGACGUUAACUAGAGAAGAAGCACCGGCUAACUCUGUGCCAGCAGCCGCGGUAAUACAGAGGGUGCGAGCGUUAAUCGGAAUUACUGGGCGUAAAGCGCAUGCAGGUGGUUUGUUAAGUCAGAUGUGAAAGCCCGGGGCUCAACCUCGGAAUUGCAUUUGAAACUGGCAGACUAGAGUACUGUAGAGGGGGGUAGAAUUUCAGGUGUAGCGGUGAAAUGCGUAGAGAU